UAGCAUAUCAAUAAGCGGAGGAAAAGAAACCAACCGGGAUUGCCUCAGUAACGGCGAGUGAAGCGGCAAGAGCUCAAAUUUGAAAGCUGGCUCCUUCGGGGUCCGCAUUGUAAUUUGCAGAGGAUGCUUCGGGUGCAGCCCCCGUCUAAGUGCCCUGGAACGGGCCGUCAUAGAGGGUGAGAAUCCCGUAUGGGGCGGGGUGUCUGCGUCCGUGUGAAGCUCCUUCGACGAGUCGAGUUGUUUGGGAAUGCAGCUCUAAAUGGGUGGUAAAUUUCAUCUAAAGCUAAAUACUGGCCGGAGACCGAUAGCGCACAAGUAGAGUGAUCGAAAGAUGAAAAGCACUUUGAAAAGAGAGUUAAACAGCACGUGAAAUUGUUGAAAGGGAAGCGCUUGCAACCAGACUCGCUCGCGGGGUUCAGCCGGGCUUCGGCCCGGUGUACUUCCCCGCGGGCGGGCCAGCGUCGGUUUGGGCGGCCGGUCAAAGGCCUCCGGAAUGUAGCGCCCUUCGGGGCGCCUUAUAGCCGGGGGUGCAAUGCGGCCAGCCUGGACCGAGGAACGCGCUUCGGCACGGACGCUGGCAUAAUGGUUGUAAACGACCCGUCUUGAAACACGGACCAAGGAGUCUAACAUCUACGCGAGUGUUCGGGUGUCAAACCCGUACGCGCAGUGAAAGCGAACGGAGGUGGGAGCCCCCUCGCGGGGCGCACCAUCGACCGAUCCUGAUGUCUUCGGAUGGAUUUGAGUACGAGCGUAAAUGUGGGGACCCGAAAGAUGGUGAACUAUGCCUGAAUAGGGCGAAGCCAGAGGAAACUCUGGUGGAGGCUCGCAGCGGUUCUGACGUGCAAAUCGAUCGUCAAAUUUGGGUAUAGGGGCGAAAGAC
rnacentral:rRNA from 1 species